rnacentral:lncRNA from 1 species
UCACAGUGUGCAGGUGCUACUCAGCACCGUGCAACUCACCCAAUGCGCAUGCCAACUGGAAGAUCGCACUAUGUAGUUGCCUCAGUAGCAUGGAAAACCCAGUGCGCAUGUGUCCCGGUCCCCUCAGCGAGUGGGCACUAGUGCGCAUGUCCAACCGCCUGGUUGUGGGACUGGCCUUUGAGUUUGGAAGUGCGCAUGCGUACAAGUCUCUUCGUUUCCCCCUCAAUCCCACCAUCGCGAGCUCCUCGGGAGACUGCGAGGGCGACCUCGCGGCUACUCCCCUGGACUGGUGAGCCCGCUAGGGGUUGUUAUGUGACGAAGCAAGUCCGUGCUGUCACCGGCCACCCAAGUCUCACGGUGGGCCUGCCCUCUUGUUUUUGUUGUUUCUGCUGCAGCUCCUGACAGUACCCUCACACGCCCUGUUCAUCUGCGCGACCGCCUUGUUUUGGAUGAAGCCAGUGACGCCAUCACUGCUGGCCCGCAUUCUUGACGGGGGCUGCCGAGACUGUUUCGAAACUUGACAGCAGCCACCUUGUUCACUCCUUGGCCCGGGUCCGUCAGCACCGCCUCUUUGUUGUCUUCCCGCCUGGUGACGCAAUCGCUGCGCGCCCGCUUUUAGUACCCUGUGAACUGAUCCCCUUUAGCCGAAAGCAACGCCGCCUGGUUAUAGUCUCAGCCCUGUAAGUUAUCGCUCAGCGUGGCCGUUUUGUUUUGGUCGCGGGGUUGUGACGCCAUCACGCCGCGCCGGAAUAGAUCACUAGUACCAGAGCGCGGUUUUUAAGCCUCAGAUCUUAGCGGUUGUUCCGGGGUCCGUGUGUUCGUCUGUGUGUCUGUGUGUCCGCGGACGUGUCCCGGGUCUUCGGGCCAGUCUGUUGGCCCAUCCCGCACCUCCGUCGCCGCCAUGCCGCCUGGGAAGCCGCUGCAGCCUCGGCUGCAGAUUAAGAUGUACCAGCUGUUCCUGUGCUGGAUCCGCGAUCCCAAUACACACCGCGCUCUGCCGGACCGGCUGCGGCGCAUCCAGGACGCGACCCCCGACCCUGCGACCUCUGACUCGAUCACCCGUGACCCCGUAAUACCCCACCCUGCGAGCCCCGACCCCAAGACCCUUGACCUCUCUAACCGUGAACCACUCGUGACUCCGAGUCUCCCGACCCCGCCACCCACGAUGCCGCAACACCCCACCACUCGACCUCUGACCCUGCCCACGCGCUGUCCCUUGGCGCCCCCGCCUGCGCCCGACCAGCACGAGGCCGGAGGAGGACGACGACGACAACAGGACCUAGAGAGGAUUCAGUGACUUAUGAUGAUGUGCAUGUGAACUUCACUAAAGAAGAGUGGGAUUUGCUGGAUCCUUCCCAGAUGAAUCUCUACAAAGACGUGAUGCUGGAGACCUACUGGAACCUCAUUGCUAUAGGCUACAAUUGGGAAGAUCAUCAUAUUGAAGAACAAUGUCAAAGUUCUAAAAGUCAUGAAAGGAAUGUAAGAAGUCAUAGUGGAGAGAAACCCUAUGAAUGUAAUAAGUGUGGUAAAGCCUUUGCAAGACCCAUUUAUCUCCAAAAUCAUAAAAGAACACAUACUGGAGAGAAAGCUUAUGAAUGUAAUCAAUGUGAUGAAGCCUUUGCAAGACCCAGUCAACUCCAAAGACAUAAAAGAAUGCAUACUGCGGAGAAACCCUAUGACUGUAAUCAGUGUGGUAAAGCCUUUGCAAGACCCAGUCAUCUCCAAUAUCAUAAAAGCACACAUACUGGAGAUAAACCUUAUGAAUGUAAUCAAUGUGGUAAAGCCUUCGUAUGGCACAGUCAUCUCCAAAUACAUAAAAGAACACAUAGUGGAGAAAAACCUUAUGAAUGUAUUCUAUGUGGUAAAGCCUUUGCAAUACCCAGUCAUCUCCAAAGACAUAAAAGCAUACAUACUGGAGAGAAACCUUAUGAAUGUAAUCAAUGUGGUAAAGCCUUUUCACAGGGGAGUCAUCUCCAAUAUCAUAAAAGAACACAUACCGGAGAGAAAGCUUAUGAAUGUAAUCAAUGUGGUAAAGCCUUUUCACAGGGGAGUCAUCUCCAAUAUCAGAACACAUACGGGAGAGAAAGCUUAUGAAUGUAAUCAAUGUGAUGAAGCCUUUGCAAGACCCAGUCAACUCCAAAGACAUAAAAGAAUGCAUACUGCGGAGAAACCCUAUGAAUGUAAUCAGUGUGGUAAAGCCUAUGCAGAAGAGAGAACACUCCAAUAUCAUAAAAGAAUACAUACUGGAGAGAAACCUUAUAAUCAAUGAGGUGAAGCCUUUGCAACACCCAGUCAUCUCCAGUGUUAUACAAUAACACAUAUUGGAGAGAAACCUUAUGAAUAUAAUCAAUGUGAUGAAGCCUUUGCAAGACCCAGUCAUCUCCAAAGACAUAAAAGAACACAUACUGGAGAGAAGCCUUAUGAAUGUAUUCAAUUUGAUAAAGUCUUUUCAUGGCACAGUACUCUCCAGUAUCAUAAAAGAGCACAUACUGGGGAGAAACCUUAGGGAUGGCAUUAAUGUGGUAAAGCCUGUUCACAAGGGAGAAGUCUCCAAAAAUAUAAAAGAACACAUACUGGAGAGAAACCCUAUGAAUGUAAUCUAUGUGAUAAAAGCCUUUGCACUAAGUUCUUGUCUCAAAAAUCAUAAAAUAACCGUUUUUUGUGUUUGUUUGUUUGCUUUAAUUUUAAGGCGUUUAUUGUAGAAAGGCAGAGAGAGGGAGAGAGUGGGGAAGGAGAGGCCGGCCAUGGCCAUGUGGAGAGAGGGAGUGGGGAGAGGGGGAAGAAGAGGGCAAGAGAGAAGCAAGAGAAUAAGAGCGUAAAAGAACCGUUAUUGGAGAGAACCCUUAUGAAUGUAGUCAGUGUGCUAAAGCCUAUGCGUAACCCACUAGUCUCCAAAACAUAAAAGCGCCCAUACUGGUAAGAAACCUCAUGAAUGUAAUCAGUGUAGUAAAGACUUUUCACAACUUUGUAAUCUCCAUUAUUAUAAAAGAACACAUACAGGAGAGAAACCUUAUGAAUGUAAUCAGUGUUGAAAAUCAUUUGCCUAUCACAGUUACCUGCAACCACAUAAAAGAUCACAUACAAGAGAGAAACCGCAUGAAUAUUAACAAUAUGGUAAAGCCUUUGCAUGUGAUAAUUCUUUACACAUACACAAGAGAAAUCACACUGGACUGAACCCUUAUUAAUGUAAUCAAUGCGGUAAUAUGUUGGCAACUCACUGCCAUGUGCAAGUACAUAAUAGAACACAUUCAAGAGAGUAACCCUAUGAGUGUAAUCAGUUUAUUAAUCUGUUGCUUGUCACAAUGAUCUGUAUACAUAAAAGAACAUAUACUGUAGAGAAACUGCAUGAAUGUAAUAAAUGAGGUAAAGCCUUUCAGGACACAGUCAUCUCUGAAUACACAAAAGAACAUGUGCAGGAGAGAAACCUUAAGAAUGUAAUCAAUGUGAUAGGGCCUUUGCAUCUAACACUCAUUUCUAAAUACAUUAAUGAUCACAUAGUGGAGAGAAGCCCUAUGAUUGUAAUGAAUGGGUAAAGCCUCUGCAUGUCACUGUACUUGCCAAAUACUUGAAAGAACACACAUUUUAGAGAAACCUUAUGAGUGUAGUGAAUGUGGAAAAGCCUUUGCAUAUUAUAGUCUUCAAAGACAAUAGAAUACAAACUGGACAGAAAUCUUGUGAAUGUAUGCAUGGUGGAAAAUCCUUUACAUGCCACAGUAGACUCUGAAUAUAUAAAAGGACACAUACUAGAGCAAAACCUUUUGAAUAUAAUCAAUGUGGUAAAGCCUUUGCCUGUCCUAAUCAUAUUUAAAUGCAUGAAAGAAUUCAUAUAGUUAUAAACUGGUUAUUUGAAUAUGCUUGGCCCUAAGAAGUGGCACUAUUAGGACAUGUGCAUUGUGGGAGUAGAUGUUACUGUUUUGGAGUAAGUGAAUUACUAUGGUGGUGAUCUUUGGGGUGCCAGCCAGGACAAACAGCCCUACAACUACUUGACUGGAAAGCAGUCUUUUCUUGGCUGCCUUCUCAUGAACAUGCGGAACUCUCAGCUCCUUCUCCAGCAUUAUGUCUGCCUGCAUGCUGCCAUGCUUCCUGGUAUGAUGGUGAUGGACUAAACAUUUGGAACUGUAAGCCAGGCCCAAUUAAAUAUUUGCUAUCAUAGGAGUUGCCUUGGUCACAGUGUUUCUUAGCAAUGGAAAUUCUAAGGCAGAAGUUGGUACCCCAGACUUAACCAUUGCUGUGACAGGCCUGAUCAUGUUUUUGUUUGGAGCAAUGUGGAUUUUUAGACCUUGGAUUUGUACAUGCAUUAAGUGGAAGUUACUGGGCCAUCCUAGUAGGAGUAUGGAUGGCAUAGGUACUAGAGGGUGAUUUGAACUCUGUAUAUGGUUUUUAUGAUGGUUUGCUGUGGAAUGUUGCUGCUUUUUUUGCCCUUGUCUGAAGAGUGUCCUUGAAGCUAAGGUAAAGAGAUUUAUAUAAAUUGUGUUUACAAAGGAAGUCUCAGAAAAUCCCAGCGUAUCCUUUGGCCUGUGGUUACUCUCUAUAUGAUUGUUUUGACCAAGCAUAAUAAUCUUAGAAAGGAAAAAUAUAAAAUGUAAGGUUCAAAGAAAAAAGGUUCACCAGGAAGUUGAAUGAAACAAAAUCCUGUGAUCAAGGAUAUUAAAUGGUAUUACAGGAAUGGUGAUGUUAGGGCAACAUUCCAUCCAGUUGAAGUUACGGAUCUGCAGUUGUACAAAGGUAUCAUGGUAGGCAUUAUUUUUAACCUGGUUAUUGUUUUCACGUGGACAUAAGGAGAUAAAAGUAUGUGUCAAAUUAACAAGUUAUGGAUUGUGAUUACUACUACUGGUUUUCAAUGUAAGAUCUAAAAGGAAAAACUUAGGUCUAGGCAUAGUGGUACAUGCCUUAAAUCCCAAGAGAUGAGAGUCAAGCAUAUUUUUGGUUCAAGUAUUCCAGGUACAGAAUAAGUUUCAAGUAAAGAAAAAAAAAAGUACACCUUUUAUCUUUUAUCCCAGCAUGCAGGAGACAGAGCCAUGCAGGUUUCUGAGUUCAAGGAUAAUCUACUGAACACGUUCCAGGAGCACCAAGCCUAGGCAGUGAAGUUGUUGAAAAAUACAAAGUGGUGAUAAUGUAAUAGAAGGGGUCAUGUUCCAGCCCUAGAAAGCAGCAGAACUCAGCAGCAUUGUCCAUGUGGCUCUGUCUUUAGAGGCAAGAAUAGAAGGGACUACUGAGAUCAUUGGUAUUGACUAGCUGUAGCUAAGAAAUUAGAGGUUAUGAAGAAGAAACCAGCAUCACUGAGGUGAAAUCUUCUGGAAAGUGUUUCUGAGUGUCAAAGAAGAUGUUUCUAUGUUUAAGUAUGGUUCCCAUACACUAUUUCAUGUAUUUCAACAAUCACAUGGGGGCCAGGCUGUGGAAUGUGUUUGUUUAAAUAUGCUUGGCUAAGGGAGUGGCACUAUUAUCAAGUGUGACCUUGUUGGAGGAAGUGCAUCACUUUGAGGGUGGGCCUUGAAAUUCAUCCCAGAGCUGAAGAGACCCUCUUAAAACCUCCCUGGAAGAUAGGCUCUUCCUGGCUGCCUUUGGAUCAAGAUGCAGAACCCUCAGCUUCUUCUCCAGCUUCUUCUAUCUGCCCUUCCAUUCUUCCUGCUCUGAUGAAAAUGGACUAAACCGGGCUGGUGAGAUGGCUCAGUGGUUAAGAGCUCCGACUGCUCUUCCGAAGGUCCAGAGUUCAAAUCCCAGCAACCACAUGGUGGCUCACAACCAUCCGUAACAAGAUCUGACUCCCUCUUCUGGUGUGUCUGAAGACAGCUACAGUGUACUUACAUAUAAUAAAUAAAUCUUAAAAAAAAAAAAAAAAAGAAAAUGGACUAAACCUCUGAAACUGUAAGCCAGUCCCAAUUUAAAUGGUUGCUUUUAUAGGAGUUGCUGUGUUCAUGGUGGCUCUUCAUAGCAAUUGAAACUAAGACAGAAACCCUGAGUGUAUUUAAUCUGACCAAGCCUUUGUACAAUUCUGUAGUCUUCAUUUUCAUGAAAGAAAAUGUCCUAGAGAGAAUCCUUAUGAAUGGGUUUAGUAUAAUGAAGUCUUUGUACACCUCUAAAAUCUUCAUCAUUAUGAAACUAUUCAUACUGGAGGAAAAUUCUAUGAAUAUUAGCAGUGUGGUAAAGCCAUUAUGUUAAGGGGUCCACUGAGUUCCAACCCAAUUCAAACACCAGCAUAAUGCAAAUGAUAUAUAUUUUUUUUUUAAGUCAGCUUGCUACUGAUCAAUCAAGACCACAAAAAUAAACUCAGAAGCUUAGCUGAAUCACCCCACCCUUAGCCAGAAAGUGAUAUAUAUUCCAAACCUGAAAACCACAAACAUCUAUGCCAGGUUACAGCUACACUUCCCACCAAUCAGGAUUUCCUUCUGUUGUUACUCUAUGUCAGGUGAUACAGAAUGUAGGUUUUCUGGUUUAGCCUAUCACACCUAUUGUCUUUGUAGUUAGGAAUAGGCAUUUUAUUUUGAGGAAUAAAACAUCGAUAGCAGAAAUUAUGGUUAGAAACAGUAGUUAUGUUUUGGGGGAACAAAACUUAAAUAAUAAAAGCUGGCCAGGUAUUGUUAAGUACACACUCCCCUGUGACCCGGGACUUGAACAUAGUUUCAAUCUAUGGUUAAAUGGAGGUUGAUAACAAAAAGGUAGUGCUUAGGACAAGUUUCUUUUGCUUGUUCCGAACAUUUAGAUAGCAUAGUCAUCUUCAAAUACAUAACAACUCAUAAACAUAAUGUGUUAAAGUUUUGCACUUUCUAGUAUCUUUAAAUAAGAGUAAACUCUAGUAUGUAAUCAAUCUAUUAGAGCCUUUGCAUAUCACAGUAGUCUUUGAGGACCUUCCAUAAUACUGAAAGUAAUCUGUGACUACAAAGAAUUUGGUAAGAUCUUAGCCAACACACUUAUAUUGAGUUACUCAAGAUUAUUUAUUAUGUAGAAAGAAGUGGGACAAGUGUCAACAAUCAAUUCAAACAAUAUGUCUCUAUUUUGUUUGUAUUUUUUAGUUAAUCAUGUAUCCAACAACUUUUCUGAAAGUGUUUAUCAGCACAAGAAUUGCCUUUGGAAAAUGUUGGUUCACUUAUGCAUACUCUCAUAUCUGCAAAUAAAGAUGAUUUUACUUCCUCCUUUCUAAUUCAUAUAACUUUCAUCCCCUUAAGUUUUACUACUCUAGCUAAACUUUUAGAUAGUACUUUGAAUAGAUAAGAAGAGAAUGGACCACCUUGUCUUGCUUAUUAGUGGAAUUAAUUCGAAUAUCCCUCCAUUUAAUUUAAUGUUGGCUAUAGGCUUGCUGUAAAGUGACAUUAUUAUGUUUAGGUAUAUCCCUUGUAUCCUUAUUCACUCCAAGAAUUUUAUCAUAAAGUGGUUUGAAGAUACGUCCAAUGCACUUUCAGAGUUAAGUCAGCUCAGAUGAUUGACACAGGCCAUUGGCUGUAGCCAUGUGUGUCAUGUAACCUUGAUAGCAAGUCCAUUAAUUCACUGGCAUUAGAGCUAGCUUCUUUGGAAUUCCAGCUUAUUCUAAAGAUAAGCUGAGAUAUCCAGCCGUGAGGACUGAGAAACUACUGGAUCCUUGGAUUUUACCUUCAUAGCUACUUAUUGUUGAAUUGGCUGGACCACCGCAGCCUCUAAGUCAUUCUAAACAAUAUCCUUCAUAUAGAGAGAAGUUCAUUCUAGCAGUUUGCUAUUCUAUAGAACUGACUAAUACAUUAGGCAAGUACAGAAUAUUCUUAGAGCAGCUUGGGCCUCACAACCAUCUCAGCUCAGUUACAAAUUCAAAUUGGCCACAUUCCCUUAACCCUUUGUUCAGGUGGUGCUUUGAUUCUCUGCUUCUACAGCUAUUUGAAAAUAGCGUCAAUAGCAAAAGUGUAAAGUAUCUCAAUUGGAACACACAGUAAUACAGUUACAUGAGGACAUCAGACAGGUUCCAGAUUAAGUGAGGAAUGGAAAACCAGAUGUCUCAGCUUCUGUAGGCCAAGACCUGGCACCCCACUCACAUGAAGAUGAGGUGAUAGUAGAUUUUACAGCACGAGUCUGGAGUCCUGCAAGGCUUCUUGUCCCACACAUUGACUCUGAUUCACUGUCAGUCUCGGAAAUCAGAUUUUUCUAGGGAGCUUCACAAGAACAAAGCACUGGAAGAAACACCCCUUCAGUGUGCUAUGAGUUCUCCAGCAGUAAAAGAGCAGCGCUAACUAACUCUCCAUUCUUAGCCUUGCAGAGACACACUCCCCACCAGGUGCAUGUGAACACUGAGGCAGUUCUGGCCUCCCAACAUUGCUUACCUGGUUGUUCCCCAGUCUCUUACCUUCACAACCAGGAGGGUGUUCUCAAUUGCAUAUGCCAUCUGAUGGGACUAGUCUGCAUUGCUUUCCUAGAUGAGAGGUGACAAAUCUGUUGCAAACUGACAAUCAGUGAUCACGUGGCUGAAAGGAGCCUUGCAUGGAUGUGUGACAGCCUAAGAGAAUUAGCAUGCCUACCUCAUGUAACUGUCACUUCAGGUUUCCAGAAUUUUCUCUCUUAGAUUGGGAGCACACUUGGUUGGAAGGACAAAAUUCAAGUGUAGUGUGGGCAGGAGAGAUCUGUUCUCCAUUAACAUUUGUUGGCGUCUCAGAGGACUCUCAAGACAGCUAACAAACCUCUUUAACUUGAUUUGUGGUGGAAUCUGAUGCCUGCUUCUGGCCUCAGUGGGAGCUGUAAGCAUGUGGUGCAGAGAUAUUCAGCAGGCUGAAUACCCAUGUAUUAAUUUUUCUUUUUCAAUAAAUGUCAUCAUUUUAAUUGUUAUGUUCCAUAUAAGUAUUUAUUGUUAUCUACCUUGCCAGUGUAGUUUUUAUCAUGUGCACUGAUUCUCACGGGACUCUUUUCUCCUGCACUGUCAUUUAAUUUAAAAACAUAUUGAUAGGAAUGAUAAUUUGUAGAGUUUAUAUUUUAUGUGUGCAGAGACCUGAUCUGUUUCCCUAUUAGACUUAGUGGCUCUCACCGGGAGUCUGUGUGACCAAGGAAGGUCGGGCACCAAGCCAUGGACUCUCUGACCACAUCAUUGCAAUCUGCACACUCUGACCCAUCUGUCCACUCCUCGGGGAUGACACCCACCCCCCUCUGCCUCAGGAUGCCCGGUGGCCUUCCUGGCUUCUCUGCAGCUCUGGCGGGGGGUGACAAGGAGUGAAGAGUAUGAGGCAGGGGGAUGACCUGCAGCUACUGUCAGAUGAGCACAGGGAUGGCGCCUCUCCCAUAGGUCUCCCCUCCCCUUCCAACACGUCCCAUGGCCUGUCCCCUGCUCAUUCUCUAUCUCACUCACCUCACUUCCUCACAACUCAAGACCCCCUUCCCGGGGGGUGGUGCUGUCCACCGUGGGUGCCGCCCUCCCUUGUCCAUGUCACCCAGAGAAGGCCCCGUGCGCUUCUCUCAAGUGGCUGUGGCUUGGAUAAAGUCCUCCAGAAAACAAAAAUCGAUUUAAAAAAAAGAAGGAAAAAAAAAGCACCAGGGGGAGCCUGGUGUUUCUCCUUCCACAGACACCAGGCUGUCCCUUGUCGCUCAUCACAUAGCUCAGGCUGUCUCAGGACUAUGACUGUGUAGCCUGGGAUGUCCUGCUUCUCUCUCCAAGUAGUCCAGGCUCUCCACCGUCUUUGUGCUUGUAGCCCACAGAGCUGACCAGGAAGGAUGGCCAGGAUGCCAUGCUGUGUCCAAUGUCUACACUGCAGUCAAUUUCUCCCUCCAUCUGAUAGAAGCCAGGUGGCAGCCAUGGUGGGGGCACCAUGGGGUGAAGGAGGAGCUCCUUCCCUCCUGCAGCCUUGGGCCAGGCGGGCAGAUGAGACCUCACACAAGCAUGGCAGCUCCCGUGGACCCUGUCCCCAUCCCCGCCGGCCCGAUGCCCAGCAG